rnacentral:rRNA from 1 species
GCUUGCAUCAUGAUUUACAUUUGAGUGAGUGGCGAACUGGUGAGUAACACGUGGGAAACCUGCCCAGAAGCGGGGGAUAACACCUGGAAACAGAUGCUAAUACCGCAUAACAACUUGGACCGCAUGGUCCGAGUUUGAAAGAUGGCUUCGGCUAUCACUUUUGGAUGGUCCCGCGGCGUAUUAGCUAGAUGGUGAGGUAACGGCUCACCAUGGCAAUGAUACGUAGCCGACCUGAGAGGGUAAUCGGCCACAUUGGGACUGAGACACGGCCCAAACUCCUACGGGAGGCAGCAGUAGGGAAUCUUCCACAAUGGACGAAAGUCUGAUGGAGCAACGCCGCGUGAGUGAAGAAGGGUUUCGGCUCGUAAAACUCUGUUGUUAAAGAAGAACAUAUCUGAGAGUAACUGUUCAGGUAUUGACGGUAUUUAACCAGAAAGCCACGGCUAACUACGUGCCAGCAGCCGCGGUAAUACGUAGGUGGCAAGCGUUGUCCGGAUUUAUUGGGCGUAAAGCGAGCGCAGGCGGUUUUUUAAGUCUGAUGUGAAAGCCUUCGGCUCAACCGAAGAAGUGCAUCGGAAACUGGGAAACUUGAGUGCAGAAGAGGACAGUGGAACUCCAUGUGUAGCGGUGAAAUGCGUAGAUAUAUGGAAGAACACCAGUGGCGAAGGCGGCUGUCUGGUCUGUAACUGACGCUGAGGCUCGAAAGUAUGUGUAGCAAACAGGAUUAGAUACCCUGGUAGUCCAUACCGUAAACGAUGAAUGCUAAGUGUUGGAGGGUUUCCGCCCUUCAGUGCUGCAGCUAACGCAUUAAGCAUUCCGCCUGGGGAGUACGGCCGCAAGGCUGAGACUCAUAGGAAUUGACGGGGGCCCGCACAAGCGGUGGAGCAUGUGGUUUAAUUCGAAGCUACGCGAAGAACCUUACCAGGUCUUGACAUACUAUGCACAUCUAAGAGAUUAGACGUUCCCUUCGGGGACAUGGAUACCGGUGGUGCAUGAUUGUCGUCAGCUC